CUAAAAUAUAAAGCUAUUAAGGUCAUUUAUUUAAAAAUGACGUGAGUAGGUGAUGUACAUUUUUCUUGCAGGUUUGUUAAGAAGUUGGAGCACUCUUGGAAAGCCCUGGUACAUGACGGAGACACUGUCUCAGUGCAUCGCCCAGGCUUCUACGCUGAACGGUUCCAGCGCUUCAUGUGCAACACAGUAUUUAAGAAGAUUCCCUUGAAGCCUUCUCCUUCCAAAAAGUUUCGGUCUGGCUCAUCUUUCUCUCGGCGAGCAGGCUCCAGUGGCAACUCCUGCAUUACUUACCAGCCAUCGGUCUCUGGGGAACACAAGGCACAAGUGACAACAAAGGCAGAAGUGGAGCCAGGUCAGCGCUAGGGCUGGGGUCCCCAUGUGAUUGGGUACUCCCUCCCUUCCUUCUGAGCCGUUACCUUGUCUGGCCAGGACCUCUGCUCCCAUUUCUAUCCAGGAAGCCUAGCUGCUACAUAUUUUUCCUUGUAUUUACUGUACCCCAUCUUCUCUAUCUUUUUUCCAGGCGUUCACCUUGGUCGUCCUGAUGUUUUACCUCAGACUCCACCUUUGGAGGAAAUCAGUGAGGGCUCGCCUAUUCCUGACCCCAGUUUCUCACCUCUAGUUGGAGAGACUUUGCAAAUGCUAACUACAAGUACAACCUUGGAAAAGCUUGAAGUUGCAGAGUCAGAGUUCACCCAUUAAGCGCAAAGCCUCAGAAGACCUGGAACAAGAUUCUGCCAUCUCUGUGAUCCCAAGAUGUCAGCCCUUGCCCCAGCAAUGCUGAAUUUUCUUCUACUUGGUCAUCAAAAAAGGAGUGUAAUAGAAGUGAGGGGAGCUGCUCCUCCAUCUUCUUCCUGAAGAAGAACCUUCUCUCCUUCCUCUUCCUCAUGAAUGGGCCUUAGUGCCUCAGAGAGUUGAGGACCGCAGCAUCCCCUCCACUCCAGAGUUGGGUGGUACGGAUUUUCAACUGGCCAACCCUUUGCCUCCACUAUUGAUUUUUUUUCAGACCCCCAUUCUUCAUGCUGGAAAUGGGAUUGCUGGACUUGGCAGCUUUCUUUCCCCUUGUCUUUGACCAGGAACCGGACUCUUAAUUUCCUCAGGACAGACUAGCUGGCACAUUAUCCCUACCUUAGUUCUUUCUCUCUGACUCCUGGAAGAAUACUCCUGUAAUCUCUGUAAAGGUUUUUGGGGGAUAAGGGUGUUUAACCACCUCCCAGCUUUCUUCUUCUUUUUUUUUUUUUUUCCUGAAAAAAGGAAAAAGCACACAGCACACAAUUUCAAGCCAUUUUCAGAUCAGAACUCCAGAAGUGUUGACAAGAUGCCUAUUCGUAGAGUUCCCUCAGAAGAGCCAUGGUGUUUAUGAAGAGAAGAGUAGUGAUUGCUCUGCCAGAAGCAGCUCCUCUUUAAACUCCUCCUCUCUUGAUGAAUUUCUUAAGGCUGAAGGAAUGAAGAGAGUGGGACAUGGGGUAAUCUUUAUCCCUUUUGUUAAAACAGGAGGCAGCCAUGGGCUGGGAGAUCAUAGCCCUUCCUAGGCAGAAUCCUGUUCACUGCCAGGCUAUAAUAAUUAUUACUAUUUUGCAAUUUGAAAUAUAUUCUGGUUGUUUUUCUAAAUGUGAAGACUUACCAAAUGAAUUUUAGAUCAUUCUCCAGAGGAGAUUUUUUUUGCUCUUCUCAUCUUUUCCAACAGUGUUCUUCUGUUUGUGGAGCUAAGGUAAAGAGGGGACACCUCUGUCUGUUUAACAGACAGUCCAUAUCUGUGAGGCCAGCAAAUAUUUUCUUAAACUCAUGGGGAGACAGCAGAUUCUUGCCUUGGUGAGGUCAUUGCUGUGCCAUAUGUCCUAUCCCCCUGUCUUCAUGCAGGGAAGUUGGAAAUGGGGGCUACAUAUGCCCUCUCCUCCCUGUCUACAAGAGUUGUGGUUUUCCAUCUGAUCCUUCCACUCUUGUCAGGGGAAGAAGGGGGCCUGGUAUCUCAGGCAGAUUGUUGAAUUCCUGUUCUAUCCCUUCUCUAUCCCACCCUGCCUUGAUAAUAUGUUAGCCGAUACCCCAAAUAACUGUCUAUAUUAGACACCCCCAGCCAGUUUCUGGCUGCCUGUCUUUGCUGCCAUGUUUUUUACAAGAAGGAAAGAAUUCUUGCUAUUUUUUUUUCAUAAUUUACUAUUUAUGAUGUAUUUAAGUGUUUUAUUAAGGACAGAGUUCUGUUAGGGGUGGGAGGGAAUAUUUGAGGGAGGGCUGGGUCUUAGGGAAAGGAAUG
rnacentral:lncRNA from 1 species